rnacentral:rRNA from 1 species
UACAGAGGGGGCGAGCGUUGUUCGGAAUUACUGGGCGUAAAGGGCGCGUAGGCGGCCUGCUAAGUCGAACGUGAAAUCCCUGGGCUCAACCCAGGAACUGCGUCCGAUACUGGUUGGCUUGAAUCCGGGAGAGGGAUGUGGAAUUCCAGGUGUAGCGGUGAAAUGCGUAGAGAUCGGGAGGAACAUCGGUGGCGAAGGCGGGUCUCUGGGCCGUAACUGACGCUGAGGAGCGAAAGCAUGGGGAGCGAACAGG